GCUACAGGCUUAACACAUGCAAGUCGAGGGGCAGCAUGGUCUUAGCUUGCUAAGGCCGAUGGCGACCGGCGCACGGGUGAGUAACACGUAUCCAACCUGCCGUCUACUCUUGGACAGCCUUCUGAAAGGAAGAUUAAUACAAGAUGGCAUCAUGAGUCCGCAUGUUCACAUGAUUAAAGGUAUUCCGGUAGACGAUGGGGAUGCGUUCCAUUAGAUAGUAGGCGGGGUAACGGCCCACCUAGUCUUCGAUGGAUAGGGGUUCUGAGAGGAAGGUCCCCCACAUUGGAACUGAGACACGGUCCAAACUCCUACGGGAGGCAGCAGUGAGGAAUAUUGGUCAAUGGGCGAGAGCCUGAACCAGCCAAGUAGCGUGAAGGAUGACUGCCCUAUGGGUUGUAAACUUCUUUUAUAAAGGAAUAAAGUCGGGUAUGGAUACCCGUUUGCAUGUACUUUAUGAAUAAGGAUCGGCUAACUCCGUGCCAGCAGCCGCGGUAAUACGGAGGAUCCGAGCGUUAUCCGGAUUUAUUGGGUUUAAAGGGAGCGUAGAUGGAUGUUUAAGUCAGUUGUGAAAGUUUGCGGCUCAACCGUAAAAUUGCAGUUGAUACUGGAUAUCUUGAGUGCAGUUGAGGCAGGCGGAAUUCGUGGUGUAGCGGUGAAAUGCUUAGAUAUCACGAAGAACUCCGAUUGCGAAGGCAGCCUGCUAAGCUGCAACUGACAUUGAGGCUCGAAAGUGUGGGUAUCAAACAGGAUUAGAUACCCUGGUAGUCCACACGGUAAACGAUGAAUACUCGCUGUUUGCGAUAUACUGCAAGCGGCCAAGCGAAAGCGUUAAGUAUUCCACCUGGGGAGUACGCCGGCAACGGUGAAACUCAAAGGAAUUGACGGGGGCCCGCACAAGCGGAGGAACAUGUGGUUUAAUUCGAUGAUACGCGAGGAACCUUACCCGGGCUUAAAUUGCAGAUGAAUUACGGUGAAAGCCGUAAGCCGCAAGGCAUCUGUGAAGGUGCUGCAUGGUUGUCGUCAGCUCGUGCCGUGAGGUGUCGGCUUAAGUGCCAUAACGAGCGCAACCCUUGUUGUCAGUUACUAACAGGUUCCGCUGAGGACUCUGACAAGACUGCCAUCGUAAGAUGUGAGGAAGGUGGGGAUGACGUCAAAUCAGCACGGCCCUUACGUCCGGGGCUACACACGUGUUACAAUGGGGGGUACAGAGGGCCGCUACCACGCGAGUGGAUGCCAAUCCCAAAAACCUCUCUCAGUUCGGACUGGAGUCUGCAACCCGACUCCACGAAGCUGGAUUCGCUAGUAAUCGCGCAUCAGCCACGGCGCGGUGAAUACGUUCCCGGGCCUUGUACACACCGCCCGUCAAGCCAUGGGAGCCGGGGGUACCUGAAGUGCGUAACCGCGAGGAGCGCCCUAGGGUAAAACUGGUGACUGGGGCU
rnacentral:rRNA from 1 species